CAGCCAAGUAGUUUGGAACUUUAAUAUUUUAUUUUAUACACAAUGUUUUGUUAUAACUUUUUGCAUUACUUACCUAUGUAUUUUUUAUGAUUCAUUUUUUUAACAAAUACUGAUGUUAAAUUGGUUUUAGGGUCCGUAACACCUUGUAGAAGAAUUAAAUAUAUUGGAUGCAUAUCUAAUCGACAAUUUCAAAGGCAACUUAAGAAUGAACUUGAAAUUGCCAUUCAACCAGUAAUCCAAUAGAAGAAAUAAAACCUUCCAAUGAGCACGAAAAAGUAAAAUCAUCUGAUGCGGAAAUUAGUUUGGAACCAUUAUUUAAUAAUCAUUUACUAAUUACAAGAAGAACUUAUGUUACCAGUAAUAGCACUUGCAUCUUAUAAUGAUAUUUCAAAAAAAGUUCAGCCAAUAUUUUAAAAAGAGGUUACUGGUGAAGAUUUAAAUCAAGUUUUAAUAAAAAGACUUUGUAAAUGGGCUGUAAACUUUAAUGUUUCCCAUAGAAGUGCAAAUGAAAUACUAUCUAUUCUGCAUAAUAUUGGUUUAAAAGUUCCAAAAUAUAUCACAACUAUUCUACAUCAACAUAAAGAUAGAAUAAAUCAUCCUAUGAUUAAAAUCUAAAACAGUUCAUAUUUAG